rnacentral:rRNA from 1 species
GACGAACGCUGGCGGCGUGCUUUACACAUGCAAGUCGAACGAUGAAGCCGGAGCUUGCUCCGGUGAAUUAGUGGCGAACGGGUGAGUAACACGUGAGUAACCUGCCCUUGACUCUGGGAUAACUGCGGGAAACUGUAGCUAAUAACGGAUACGACCCUCGGAGGCAUCUCCUGGGGGUGGAAAGAAUUUCGGUCAAGGAUGGACUCGCGGCCUAUCAGCGAGUUGGUGAGGUGAAGGCUCGCCAAGGCGACGACGGGUAGCCGGCCUGAGAGGGUGACCGGCCACACUGGGACUGAGACACGGCCCAGACUCCUACGGGAGGCAGCAGUGGGGAAUAUUGCACAAUGGGCGAAAGCCUGAUGCAGCAACGCCGCGUGAGGGAUGAAGGCCUUCGGGUUGUAAACCUCUUUUAGCAGGGAAGAAGCGAAAGUGACGGUACCUGCAGAAAAAGCACCGGCUAACUACGUGCCAGCCGCCGCCGUAA